UCCAGCUUAACGCUGGCAGUCUCUCUAGAGUGCCCAACUUAAUGAUGGCAACAAGAGACGUGGGUUGCGCUCGUUACGGGACUUAACCCAACAUCUCACGACACGAGCUGACGACAGCCAUGCAGCACCUGUCUCUCGGUCUCCUUGCGGAGAAAACCGACUUUCGCCGGCGGUCCGAGGAUGUCAAGACUAGGAUAAGGUUCUUCGCGUUGCGUCGAAUUGAACCACAUGCUCCACUGCUUGUGCGGGUCCCCGUCAAUUUCUUUGAGUUUUAAUCUUGCGACCGUACUCCCCAGGCGGGAUGCUUAACGCGUUAGCUUCGUCACUGAAAGGGUUUUACCUCCAACGACAAGCAUCCAUGGUUUACGGCGUGGACUAC
rnacentral:misc_RNA from 1 species